UAAUACGUAGGUGGCAAGCGUUGUCCGGAUUUAUUGGGCGUAAAGCGCGCGCAGGCGGCUAUGUAAGUCUGGUGUUAAAGCCCGGGGCUCAACCCCGGUUCGCAUCGGAAACUGCAGAGCUUGAGUGCAGAAGAGGAAAGCGGUAUUCCACGUGUAGCGGUGAAAUGCGUAGAGAUGUGGAGGAACACCAGUGGCGAAGGCGGCUUUCUGGUCUGUAACUGACGCUGAGGCGCGAAAGCGUGGGGAGCAAACAGGAUUAGAUACCCUGGUAGUCCACGCCGUAAACGAUGAGUGCUAGGUGUUGGGGGUUUCAAUACCCUCAGUGCCGCAGCUAACGCAAUAAGCACUCCGCCUGGGGAGUACGCUCGCAAGAGUGAA
rnacentral:rRNA from 1 species